rnacentral:rRNA from 1 species
AUGGCGGCCGCGUCCUUCACCGCCGCCAAGUUCCUGGCGCCGGCGGCCGCGAGAUCCGGCGGCGACCGGGCGCCCUUCCCCGCGCCGUCCGCGUUCUCCAUGCGCUCGCUCCGCCACAGGCCCGCCAGGCGCCUCAGCUCCGUCCUGGCCGUCUCCUCCGACGUGCUCAAGGCCGCGCCCGCCGCCGCCGCGUACCCGGCUGUGACACGCGAAGAGGCAUUGGAGCUUUACGAGGACAUGAUCCUUGGCCGUAACUUCGAAGACAUGUGCGCGCAAAUGUACUACCGUGGCAAGAUGUUUGGUUUCGUCCAUCUUUACAACGGGCAGGAGGCCGUCUCCACCGGCUUCAUCAAGCAGCUGAACCAACCCGACUGUGUCGUCAGCACGUACCGUGACCACGUCCACGCGCUGUCCAAGGGUGUCCCGGCCCGUGCAGUCAUGGCCGAGCUCUUUGGCAAGGCCACUGGCUGCUGCCGUGGACAGGGUGGUUCCAUGCACAUGUUCUCUGAACCCCACAACCUCCUUGGAGGCUUUGCCUUCAUUGGCGAGGGCAUCCCUGUCGCCACUGGCGCUGCCUUUGCCGCCAAGUACCGCCAUGAGGUGCUCAAGCAGUCUAGCCCUGAUGGGCUUGAUGUCACACUUGCAUUCUUUGGGGACGGUACCUGUAACAACGGCCAGUUCUUUGAGUGCCUGAACAUGGCUCAGCUGUGGAAGCUUCCGAUUAUUUUUGUUGUGGAGAACAACCUAUGGGCAAUCGGGAUGUCUCACCUUAGGUCUACUUCAGAUCCCGAGAUCUGGAAGAAGGGCCCAGCAUUCGGAAUGCCUGGGGUACACGUCGAUGGGAUGGAUGUCCUGAAGGUCAGGGAGGUGGCUAAGGAGGCAAUUGACAGGGCAAGGAGAGGUGAAGGACCAACUCUAGUGGAAUGUGAAACUUACCGGUUCAGAGGCCACUCUCUUGCUGAUCCAGAUGAACUCAGGAGGCCCGAUGAGAAAUCUCACUACGCCGCAAGGGACCCCAUCACCUCCCUGAAGAAGUACAUCAUCGAGCAGAACCUCGCGUCCGAAGCCGAGCUGAAGAACAUCGAGAAGAAGAUUGACGACGUCGUCGAAGAGGCUGUGGAGUUUGCCGACGCGAGCCCGCUGCCCCCACGGAGCCAGCUGCUGGAGAACGUGUUUGCCGAUCCCAAGGGCUUCGGCAUCGGCCCCGACGGCAAGUACAGGUGCGAGGACCCCAAGUUCACCCAAGGCACGGCGCAAGUCUAA